GAUGAACGCUAGCGGCAGGCCUAAUACAUGCAAGUCGAACGGUGGUAGCAAUACCAUAGUGGCGCACGGGUGCGUAACACGUAACUAACCUACCCAGCACUGGGGGAUAGGCCCGCCGAAAGGCGGAUUAAUACCGCAUAAGAUAGCAGAGGGGCAUCCCUUAGUUAUUAAGAUUAUUGGUGUUGGAUGGGGUUGCGGGUCAUUAGCUAGUUGGUUGGGUAACGGCUGACCAAGGCGACGAUGACUAGGGGAGCUGAGAGGCUGGUCCCCACA
rnacentral:rRNA from 1 species